rnacentral:tRNA from 1 species
GCAGGUUAUAGCUAGUGGCAGAGCAUGUGCUUAGCAUGCACAAGGCCCUGGGUUCUACCCCCAGUACCUCCG